UACCUCAAAAAACCACAACAGUCUGUUUCAUCCGUAUAGGAUAGAUUGAUGAUUCCUAUACGGAUGAAACAGACUGUUGUGGUUUUU